GAUGAAGAACGCAGCGAAAUGCGAUAAGUAAUGUGAAUUGCAGAAUUCAGUGAAUCAUCGAAUCUUUGAACGCAUCUUGCGCUCCUUGGUAUUCUGAGGAGCAUGCCUGUUUGAGUGUCAUUAAAUUCUCAACUACACUGACUUUGAAUUGGUGUCGCUUGGAUUUGGGGGGAAAAUUGUUGUGGGCUUUUUGUAUAGUCUGCUCCCCUGAAAUUGAUUAGCGGUACCUUUGUGGAACUGUCUACAGGUGUGAUAAUUAUCUACAUCUUAGACAUCUGCUGGAAUGCUGCUUUCUAAACCUUACUUGUAUUGACAAUCUUGACCUCAAAUCAGGUAGGACUACCCGCUGAACUUAAGCAUAUCAAUAAGCGGAGGA
rnacentral:misc_RNA from 1 species